rnacentral:rRNA from 2 species
UUGCUCCCUGAUGUUAGCGGCGGACGGGUGAGUAACACGUGGGUAACCUGCCUGUAAGACUGGGAUAACUCCGGGAAACCGGGGCUAAUACCGGAUGGUUGUUUGAACCGCAUGGUUCAAACAUAAAAGGUGGCUUCGGCUACCACUUACAGAUGGACCCGCGGCGCAUUAGCUAGUUGGUGAGGUAACGGCUCACCAAGGCAACGAUGCGUAGCCGACCUGAGAGGGUGAUCGGCCACACUGGGACUGAGACACGGCCCAGACUCCUACGGGAGGCAGCAGUAGGGAAUCUUCCGCAAUGGACGAAAGUCUGACGGAGCAACGCCGCGUGAGUGAUGAAGGUUUUCGGAUCGUAAAGCUCUGUUGUUAGGGAAGAACAAGUACCGUUCGAAUAGGGCGGUACCUUGACGGUACCUAACCAGAAAGCCACGGCUAACUACGUGCCAGCAGCCGCGGUAAUACGUAGGUGGCAAGCGUUGUCCGGAAUUAUUGGGCGUAAAGGGCUCGCAGGCGGUUUCUUAAGUCUGAUGUGAAAGCCCCCGGCUCAACCGGGGAGGGUCAUUGGAAACUGGGGAACUUGAGUGCAGAAGAGGAGAGUGGAAUUCCACGUGUAGCGGUGAAAUGCGUAGAGAUGUGGAGGAACAC